rnacentral:rRNA from 1 species
UACGUAGGGUGCAAGCGUUAAUCGGAAUUACUGGGCGUAAAGCGUGCGCAGGCGGUUUUGUAAGACAGAGGUGAAAUCCCCGGGCUCAACCUGGGAACUGCCUUUGUGACUGCAUAGCUAGAGGACGGCAGAGGGGGAUGGAAUUCCGCGUGUAGCAGUGAAAUGCGUAGAUAUGCGGAGGAACACCGAUGGCGAAGGCAAUCCCCUGGGCCUGUCCUGACGCUCAUGCACGAAAGCGUGGGGAGCAAACAGG